UCACCAGGUUGGAUUCUGCCUGACGUGGACGCUAGUCUCACAGAUUUAGCCAUGCAUGUGUAAGCGAAGCUUUUAGUGGAGCGGUGAAAGGCUCAGUAACGGGCGAUUUAUUUGUUCUCCUGUGACGGACAACAUCGGGAAACUGAUGGGAAAACGUCUAAGUUGCAGUUAAUUGAUUGUGACGUAAACGAUAUUGUGCAGGAGAGUAAGAUGCCAUCCUAUCAGUUAGUAAGUAGGGUAAGGGCCUACUUAGACGAAGACGGGUACGGGGAAUGAGGGUUUGAUUCCGGAGAGGGAGCCUGAGAGAUGGCUACCAGGACCAAGGUCAGCAGCAGGCGCGAAAAUUAUCGAAGCCCGCCUAGGGGCGAUAGUGAGGAGACGUGUAUAACGAAGUACGUGUAAAGAACGUGCUAAUAACUGGAGGUCAAGUCUGGUGCCAGCAUCCGCGGUAAUUCCAGCUCCAGGGGUGUCUAUGAUGAUUGCUGCGAUUAAAAAGUCCGUAGUCAAUCUGACUGACUGGCCUGCAAUGUGAUUGAUUAAAGAACGAGCAGGGUUAGGAAAGCAGAGAAUCAGGAGCGACCGAGGGCUAGAGUAUUGAAUGGCGAGAGGUGAAAUUUGAUGACCCAUUCAGGAGUGACAAAGGCGAAGGCACUAGUCAAGGGCGAAUCCGAUGAUCAAGGACGUAGGCUAGAGUUUCGAAAACGAUUAGAGACCGGAGUAGUUCUAGCAGUAAACUAUGCCGACGCCGUGGUAUCAUUUUGGUAUUGCGGAAGAGAAAUCAAGUAAGGCUUUGGGGAGAGUACGCGCGCAAGCGAUAAAUUUAAAGGAAAUGACGGAG
rnacentral:rRNA from 1 species